CGAGAUGUGGCUCAGUUGGUAGAGCGCGUGGUUUGGGACCACGAUGCCGCAGGUUCAAAUCCUGUCAUCUCGACCA
rnacentral:tRNA from 1 species